rnacentral:rRNA from 1 species
UACGGAGGGGACUAGCGUUGUUCGGAAUUACUGGGCGUAAAGCGCACGUAGGCGGCGAAGCAAGUCGAAGGUGAAAGCCCUCGGCUCAACCGAGGAAUUGCCUUCGAAACUGUUUCGCUUGAGUCCGGGAGGGGGGAGCGGAAUUCCCAGUGUAGCGGUGAAAUGCGUAGAUACUGGGAGGAACACCGGUGGCGAAGGCGGCUCCCUGGACCGGUACUGACGCUGAGGUGCGAAAGCGUGGGGAGCAAACAGGAUUAGAAACCCCAGUAGUCC